rnacentral:misc_RNA from 1 species
GAAAGUAAAAGUCGUAACAAGGUCUCCGUUGGUGAACCAGCGGAGGGAUCAUUAAAAAGGGUCCAAGGACACCUUCAACCUACCGUGCUCCCACUGUGGAAACCCGAAAAACAGGAAGCCCUCGCUGGCACAAGUUUUCUGAGAAUCAGCGCCCCGGCGCGGAAAAUAAUUACAACCCAUAACAAUGGAUCUCUUGGCUCUG